GACGAACGCUGGCGGCGUGCCUAAUACAUGCAAGUCGAGCGGACGAAUCGAAAGCUUGCUUUUGAUUCGUUAGCGGCGGACGGGUGAGUAACACGUGGGCAACCUGCCCUGUAGACGGGGAUAACACCGAGAAAUCGGUGCUAAUACCGGAUAACACGAAAUGUCGCAUGACGUUUCGUUGAAAGACGGCGCAAGCUGUCGCUACAGGAUGGGCCCGCGGCGCAUUAGCUAGUUGGUGAGGUAACGGCUCACCAAGGCGACGAUGCGUAGCCGACCUGAGAGGGUGAUCGGCCACACUGGGACUGAGACACGGCCCAGACUCCUACGGGAGGCAGCAGUAGGGAAUCUUCCGCAAUGGACGAAAGUCUGACGGAGCAACGCCGCGUGAGCGAAGAAGGCCUUCGGGUCGUAAAGCUCUGUUGUUAGGGAAGAACAAGUAACGCAGUAACUGGCGUUACCGUGACGGUUCCUAACGAGAAAGCCACGGCUAACUACGUG
rnacentral:rRNA from 1 species